AGAUAACUUACAAACCUUUCAAAUGAGGCUGUGGAAUCUCAUUUGUUAUACCCACAUGUUGGAGAGUUUUUUUGCCUUCCCUUGUAAGGAUAGGUCACUAGUACCAAAGGGAGUUCCUAUUAAACCUCUGAGACAAAGACUUAUUUCUCUUUUCAGAAUAGGACCAGAGAAACAUCCAAAAAUGACCUCACAAAAAAAAAAUUGACUUCACAAUUAAAAGAAACAACAUUUUUUUUUCCCCCUUUGGGAAAUCGCUUCUUAAUUAUGAAGUGAAAGUCUAGCUGGGCAGACCUGUCCUGAGGAUAAUGUGGAACCCAAGAAGAAUUAGUCUCCACAAAUCUGCCCUUUCUUUCCCAGAACUGGGUGGGAUUGCUCUGUUCCAUGAUAGUGGCUAAUGGGAAUGCUGUUUCCAGUGUACAUAUCUCCAGACUUCUUUACAAGCCAUUAGGACUCAACAUCUGUCUUGUUUUAGGAAUAAGUGGAUGACACUGCAAUCCCCAAGUAGCAAUUAAGGCAGUGUCUCUGUGUCAGCCCCUACCAGCUAAUCCAUUUUUUUCCUUGUUUCUUAGCCAACUCCCUUUUCCUUUUCCUCUUUUCCUUGCCAUUCAGUUUUUCCUUCCUGCCACCUCCCUGUUUCCUAAGAUUGCUGAUGGUAUCUUUCUUUCAUUUAGCAAUUUCUCUUCUUAGAAAGUAAGCUAGGCUUAACUCAGGUGCCUAAAACUUUCUCUGCCUCUCAAGUUUUUCUACAGUGGUUUUCAUAAUAUUGUAAAUAAUCCCUAAGAAUCGGUGACCCACCAUUGGAAGAACACUGGUUUUGGAAUUCCAACGAUGCUGGCUCUCCAAGAUAUAUGACUCUGGCAGGUCAUUAAAGCCUUACUUUUACUUUUCUCUUUGUAAAACAGAGAUAACCUUACCUACCUCACAGGGUUGUUGUGAGGGUUAAGUGAGAUAAUUGUAUGUUAAUCACUUUGUAAGCCUUAUUAGCACUAUGCUAUUACCUAAAACCUGUUCCUUGGGAUCUUAGCACAUCAGAACAGGAGGUGAAAUGAGAAAUUUUCCACCCAGAAAUCCCUGACUAUUCAGCUUGAGCUAAGACUGGUUAAACAGACUAGGUUCAAAAGUAUAAUAGUUGCCCAAAGCCUAAUUCUAGAGCUGAGGCCUAGAUGUCAAGAGAUCCAGGUUCCAGACCCAGCUCUGUUAUUUACUCACUAUGUGACCUUAGAACACUAGCCUUAAAUGGACCAUAAUUUGUUCCUCUGUAAAAUGAGGGAUGUGGUCUUUAAGGUCUCUCUCUCUCCAUCUCUUACAUUCCAGCCUUCCAACUUGCCCAUCUGUUAUGGUGGCUGAAGAGAGGAAUAACAUUAGAAAUCUUGAUGUGCCUGAAAAACUGAAGGCUGUUUGUUUUCCUUUCUUAGUAAGUGUAGCAACUGCCUGGCCCUCAAAUAUCAGUGGGUGCCCCAUUCCCAGUCUUUUAAAUCAUAGCUGUGGUGAGAACACUUUUUAAGUUCUCAAGUUUUCAACAUUUUGUUUUUAACUUUUUUUCCCAGACAACUUUUAUUAUUAUUAUUAUUAACUCUUUUCUACUAUGGCAACAGCUAUGCAAUGCAAAUAAAUUGUUUUUAAUCCUAAUGACUGGUUUCUCAAAGCCAGAACUGCUUUAGGAAGUAGGAACAUAUCUUUGGGAAAGAGGGGUGAUCCAGAUCUUUAAGAAUUUAUAGUCUCUCUUUUCCAGGUCACAUCAUGACCAGGGUUAUUUACAAAGUGCCUUAAAAAAAAAAGGGGGGGGGGGAGCAAAAGUCCAGAAAAGCAACUUCUCUGGUGCCUAUUUUAAUUUAAAUACCAAAUCCUAAACCCUCAUUCACAGAUUAUUUCUUAUUCUGUGUCACUUUCAAACACUUGAGGGUGUAGAUCAUUCUCUUCACAAGGGAAAACAAACAUCUUUCCAGUCCUUACCCAUUUCCUGGCCUUCUAGGGAUUCUUUAGGAGACUUCUUUGCUGUUGCUGAAUGUUCAUGGGAUGCAUCUGUCAGACUGUGAAAUUCCUAUUGGACCUUCACCAGUCCAUGAAAUGCAGUCAUUGUUAUUUCUCUCUGGGAUCUUUCAGGGUCUAGUUUUCUAUGAGCAUUUUUUUUAUCCAGAAAUGAAUUGUGACUGUGAAAUUAUCAUUUGUAUUUCCAUUAUUUCACCCGUUCCAUUGCUGGUCUUUAGGAAACUAGUGAAAAGUAUACACAACAUAAUUUCAGCAUAAAAGAAAGUACAAGUGCCUGGUUUUUCUUGAGCUUGUACUCAGAGUUAGGUAUGUUAUGCUGUUAUUGUGAACCGUAAGCAUUACAGUAACUUGUUACGGGGUCAUUUGGUUUGUUUUCAAAUCCUAAUUCUGCUUUGCACUUUUUUUUGUUAACUUUUGUGUGUGUGCACGUGUAUAUGUGUGUAUAUAUACAAUUGUAAGAGCUGGGAGAAUGGGUCUUCCAGUCUUGAUAUUCAUAACAGAUGAGAACUGUAUUUUUUUGC
ensembl:lncRNA